rnacentral:rRNA from 1 species
AUUGAACGCUGGCGGCAUGCCUUACACAUGCAAGUCGAACGGCAGCACGGGUGCUUGCACCUGGUGGCGAGUGGCGAACGGGUGAGUAAUACAUCGGAACAUGUCCUGUAGUGGGGGAUAGCCCGGCGAAAGCCGGAUUAAUACCGCAUACGAUCUACGGAUGAAAGCGGGGGACCUUCGGGCCUCGCGCUAUAGGGUUGGCCGAUGGCUGAUUAGCUAGUUGGUGGGGUAAAGGCUUACCAAGGCGACGAUCAGUAGAUGGUCUGAGAGGACGACCAGCCACACUGGGACUGAGACACGGCCCAGACUCCUACGGGAGGCAGCAGUGGGGAAUUUUGGACAAUGGGCGAAAGCCUGAUCCAGCAAUGCCGCGUGUGUGAAGAAGGCCUUCGGGUUGUAAAGCACUUUUGUCCGGAAAGAAAUCCUUGGCUCUAAUACAGUCGGGGGAUGACGGUACCGGAAGAAUAAGCACCGGCUAACUACGUG